AUGUCCUUGUCAAUGUUUUACAACAAGUUCAAGUUUUAAAAGUUAACCUACAAUAACAUUGUUAGAAGACUGGAAUUAGAUUCCUUUCUUCGCAAUUACCUAAAAUUGUCUAACACUAAAGCUCAAUCUUUCAGAUAUUCUUAGGAAAAGUUAAAAGUAAGAAAAUCAAACAAUUACUAUGGCCAAAAAAAAAAGAUAUCUUAAACACUUCUUCGGUCUUGAUUGGCAAAGUAUAAACAUUAGUAGUAGCAGUAUGUUAUAGAAGCAUUAUGCUGCAUGAACUGUAUGUUUUUCCUAAACUGUUUAAUAUGAUGAUUGGUAGAGCAGUAUGAGUAUGCUAUUUAAAAUUAUUAUAAAAAUUAGUAUAUAAUAUAUAAUAUAUUUAUUUUUAAUAAAUAUAUUUCUAAUAUAUAU
rnacentral:lncRNA from 1 species